GGCGAACGGGUGAGUAACGCGUUGGAUAACCUGCCCUCAAGAGGGGGAUAACUCCGCGAAAGCGGGGCUAAUACCGCAUGAGCCCGCAAGGGGAAAGAUGCAAAUCGCUUGAGGAGGGGUCCGCGUCCGAUUAGCUAGUCGGUGAGGUAAGAGCUUACCGAGGCGACGAUCGGUAGCCGGUCUGAGAGGACGGACGGCCACACUGGGACUGAGACACGGCCCAGACUCCUACGGGAGGCAGCAGUGGGGAAUUUUGGGCAAUGGGCGAAAGCCUGACCCAGCAACGCCGCGUGGAGGACGAAGGUUUUCGGAUCGUAAACUCCUGUCCAGAGGGACGAAGCAAGUGACGGUACCUCUGGAGGAAGCCCCGGCUAACUCCGUGCCAGCAGCCGCGGUAAUAC
rnacentral:rRNA from 1 species